rnacentral:lncRNA from 1 species
GAAUUUCGUGAUAUUUAUACUUUAUGCAAAUUUAGAACCAUCAACCAUAAAUUACCCAUUGAGAUAGGGAGAUGGACAAAUAUUCAGAGAGAUAGACGAAAUUGUAAAUUAUGUAACUCUAAAGAUCUUGGAGAUGAGUAUCAUUAUAUUAUGAUGUGCACAGCGAUGUCAAUAAAAAGAAAAGAAUGUAUUGAUAAAAAAUAUGUAAAU